AAACAGCAUUCAGAGUUGGAUUUUCCAUGCCAACCUGCCAACAUUCAAUCAUGCUGGUAAGGUGGAUAACGGUUUUAAGAUCGUUGAUGUGGUCUAUUUUUAAAAUAGGCAAUCAUGACGAAACUC
rnacentral:ncRNA from 20 species